rnacentral:rRNA from 1 species
UGUUCGCCCAUUAAAGCGGCACGCGAGCUGGGUUCCGAAGGUCGGUAGACAGUUCGGUCCCUAUCCGUCCCGGUCGUUGGGAAUUGGAGCGGAGCUGUCCUUAGUACGAGAGGGCCGUGAUGGACUUACCGCUGGUGUACCAGUUGUUCUGCCAAGGGCAUUGCUGGGUAGCUAUGUAGGGAAGGGAUAAACGCUGAAAGCAUCUAAGUGUGAAGCCCACCUCAAGAUGAGAUUUCCCAUUUCUUUAAGAAAGUAAGAUCCCUGAGAGAUGAUCAGGUAGAUAGGUCAGGAGUGGAAGUACAGUGAUGUAUGGAGCGGACUGAUACUAAUCGAUCGAGGACUUAACCAAU